rnacentral:rRNA from 1 species
AUUGAACGCUGGCGGCAGGCUUAACACAUGCAAGUCGAGCGGGGUGAUGUAGCUUGCUACAUCACCUAGCGGCGGACGGGUGAGUAAUGCUUAGGAAUCUGCCUAUUAGUGGGGGACAACAUUCCGAAAGGAAUGCUAAUACCGCAUACGCCCUACGGGGGAAAGCAGGGGAUCUUCGGACCUUGCGCUAAUAGAUGAGCCUAAGUCAGAUUAGCUAGUUGGUGGGGUAAAGGCCUACCAAGGCGACGAUCUGUAGCGGGUCUGAGAGGAUGAUCCGCCACACUAGGACUGAGACACGGCCCAGACUCCUACGGGAGGCAGCAGUGGGGAAUAUUGGACAAUGGGCGCAAGCCUGAUCCAGCCAUGCCGCGUGUGUGAAGAAGGCCUUUUGGUUGUAAAGCACUUUAAGCGAGGAGGAGGCUACUUGGAUUAAUACUCUAGGAUAGUGGACGUUACUCGCAGAAUAAGCACCGGCUAACUCUGUGCCAGCAGCCGCAGUAAAAC